rnacentral:rRNA from 1 species
UACGGGGGGAGCAAGCGUUGUUCGGAUUUACUGGGCGUAAAGGGCGCGUAGGCGGCCUCUGCAAGUCGACUGUGAAAUCUCCGGGCUUAACCCGGAAAGGUCAGCCGAUACUGCAGGGCUAGAGUGCAGAAGGGGCAACUGGAAUUCUCGGUGUAGCGGUGAAAUGCGUAGAUAUCGAGAGGAGCACCUGCGGCGAAGGCGGGUUGCUGGGCUGACACUGACGCUGAGGCGCGAAAGCUAGGGGAGCGAACGGG